UUUAUAUAUUUAUCCCUUCAUCUGCAAUUAUGACCACAAACAGAGAACUCUCUUCCAUUUCUAGUAAAACACGAGCUACCCUUUGUCAAAGCUUGUAAUUGAAUCUUGCAGCUCCCACAUCCUCAAAUUCGUCAAUUCCUCCACUUAAUAGUGAUCUGGGUAUGAAGGCAAAUGGAUCAUCAUCACCACGAAAGGUGUAAAUAGAAAACUCAAGUCUUCUCAAGCCAUUUGGGUAUCCCUCGAUGGCGGACUGCUCAAGAACUAGCAACCCGUAGGUACGACAUUUGUUCUGUCUUUGCUUCACAAGUUCAUAAUUGAAAGUUGGUAGAACCUGGCAAAUCAUGAAGUCAUAAUUCUCAAAGUUAAUUAUGUAAUUUUGGUUUUCUGCACUUGAGCUUCUAAUUGCCCAGAAAAUCUACUGUACAUCCCAUGAACUAAAUAAAUGAGUUCAUGCUUGUAGUUAUGAGUGGAUCAAUCAUGUUCCCAGAUUUGCAUUAGUCAAAAAGAAAAUUCUGACCUUUCAAUAAUGUGCCAGUCCAUUGGCAUGUUGCCGCCAAGAUUGAUCCACCCUAUUUGUGGGCUAGCUAUUAAUUAUGCUUUUCAUAUUGCUUAAUUGCUUUGGCUCAUAAUUGCCCAGCAAAUGUUUGCUCUCUGCUCAUAAUCUCCAACUAAUAUCCAAAUAUAUGAGACCCCCAUGUAAUUAUGGCUCAUAAAUGCUUGCUGCAUGUUCUUUCAAAUCCCCAAAUGUAAUUUAAUAAAAUGGACCAAGCAACACUUUUGUCUUUGUUGAUUUUCAAAAGCCCCGCAAUGAUUGAGUAAAUGCAUAAUUAUCUUCACUAGAGGAAGAUAAUUUAAUGCCAAUUGGUGAUCUCAUUGAUCAACUUUUCCCAGACUUGAUGUGAUGCAAUCAACUUUUCUCAUUGAAUUCUCACGUGCAAUGCAUAAGAGAAGGUCCAUGUUGACCUUAAAUGUGCAGAUUUCAAUUUAGCCGAUCAUACUCUGUAUUUUCAUUCAACUUGGCGGCCUGUUCAUAUUGUUUAUGAACGUACCCGGCCCCUUUUUUUUUUUUUUUUCUGCGUUUUGUCAUAUAAACACAAG